UACGGAGGGGGCUAGCGUUGUUCGGAAUUACUAGGCGUAAAGCGCACGUAGGCGGCUUUGUAAGUUAGAGGUGAAAGCCCAGGGCUUAACCCUGGAAUUGCCUUUAAGACUGCAUCGCUAGAAUUGUGGAGAGGUAAGUGGAAUUCCGAGUGUAGAGGUGAAAUUCGUAGAUAUUCGGAAGAACACCAGUGGCGAAGGCGACUUACUGGACACAUAUUGACGCUGAGGUGCGAAAGCGUGGGGAGCAAACAGG
rnacentral:rRNA from 1 species